UACGGAGGGAGCAAGCGUUACUCGGAAUUAUUGGGCGUAAAGGGCGCGUAGGCGGUCUGACAAGUUCUGUGUGAAAGCCCACAUGUUAACUGUGGAAGUGCACAGAAAACUGUUGGAUUUGAGUUCAGGAGAGGAAGGCAGAAUUCCCGGUGUAGCGGUGAAAUGCGUAGAGAUCGGGAGGAAUCCCAGUGGCGAAGGCGGCCUUCUGGACUGACACUGACGCUGAGGCGCGAAAGCCAGGGGAGCAAACGGG
rnacentral:rRNA from 1 species